rnacentral:rRNA from 1 species
UACGUAGGGUGCAAGCGUUGUCCGGAAUUAUUGGGCGUAAAGAGCUCGUAGGCGGUCUGUCGCGUCUGCUGUGAAAACUCGGGGCUUAACCCCGGGCCUGCAGUGGGUACGGGCAGACUAGAGUGCGGUAGGGGAGACUGGAAUUCCUGGUGUAGCGGUGAAAUGCGCAGAUAUCAGGAGGAACACCGGUGGCGAAGGCGGGUCUCUGGGCCGUAACUGGACGCUGGAGG